GACGAACGCUGGCGGCGUGCUUAACACAUGCAAGUCGAACGGAAAGGCCCUGCUUUUGUGGGGUGCUCGAGUGGCGAACGGGUGAGUAACACGUGAGUAACCUGCCCUUGACUUUGGGAUAACUUCAGGAAACUGGGGCUAAUACCGGAUAGGAGCUCCUGCUGCAUGGUGGGGGUUGGAAAGUUUCGGCGGUUGGGGAUGGACUCGCGGCUUAUCAGCUUGUUGGUGGGGUAGUGGCUUACCAAGGCUUUGACGGGUAGCCGGCCUGAGAGGGUGACCGGCCACAUUGGGACUGAGAUACGGCCCAGACUCCUACGGGAGGCAGCAGUGGGGAAUAUUGCACAAUGGGCGGAAGCCUGAUGCAGCGACGCCGCGUGCGGGAUGACGGCCUUCGGGUUGUAAACCGCUUUCGCCUAUGACGAAGCGUGAGUGACGGUAAUGGGUAAAGAAGCACCGGCUAACUACGUG
rnacentral:rRNA from 1 species